rnacentral:rRNA from 1 species
UACAGAGGUCUCAACCGUUGUUCGGAUUCAUUGGGCGUAAAGGGUGCGUAGGCGGUCGUGCAAGUCGGAUGUGAAAUCUCAGGGCUCAACCCUGAAACUGCAUUCGAUACUGCGCGGCUAGAGUGCUGGAGGGGAGACUGGAAUUUACGGUGUAGCAGUGAAAUGCGUAGAUAUCGUAAGGAAGACCAGUGGCGAAGGCGAGGCUCUGGACAGCAACUGACGCUGAGGCACGAAGGCCAGGGAAGCAAACGGG